rnacentral:rRNA from 1 species
AUGAACGCUGGCGGCGUGCCUAAUACAUGCAAGUCGAGCGAACGGACGAGAAGCUUGCUUCUCUGAUGUUAGCGGCGGACGGGUGAGUAACACGUGGAUAACCUACCUAUAAGACUGGGAUAACUUCGGGAAACCGGAGCUAAUACCGGAUGAUAUUUUGAACCGCAUGGUUCAAAAGUGAAAGACGGUCUUGCUGUCACUUAUAGAUGGAUCCGCGCUGCAUUAGCUAGUUGGUAUGGUAACGGCUUACCAAGGCAACGAUGCAUAGCCGACCUGAGAGGGUGAUCGGCCACACUGGAACUGAGACACGGUCCAGACUCCUACGGGAGGCAGCAGUAGGGAAUCUUCCGCAAUGGGCGAAAGCCUGACGGAGCAACGCCGCGUGAGUGAUGAAGGUCUUCGGAUCGUAAAACUCUGUUAUUAGGGAAGAACAUAUGUGUAAGUAACUGUGCACAUCUUGACGGUACCUAAUCAGAAAGCCACGGCUAACUACGUG